CCUACGGGAGGCAGCAGUGGGGAAUAUUGGACAAUGGGCGAAAGCCUGAUCCAGCCAUGCCGCGUGUGUGAAGAAGGCCUUCGGGUUGUAAAGCACUUUCAGUGGGGAAGAAAGCCUUGGGGCUAAUACCCUCGAGGAAGGACAUCACCCACAGAAGAAGCACCGGCUAACUCCGUACCAGCAGCCGCGGUAAUACGGAGGGUGCGAGCGUUAAUCGGAAUUACUGGGCGUAAAGCGCGCGUAGGCGGUCUGAUAAGCCGGUUGUGAAAGCCCCGGGCUCAACCUGGGAACGGCAUCCGGAACUGUCAGGCUAGAGUGCAGGAGAGGAAGGUAGAAUUCCCGGUGUAGCGGUGAAAUGCGUAGAGAUCGGGAGGAAUACCAGUGGCGAAGGCGGCCUUCUGGACUGACACUGACGCUGAGGUGCGAAAGCGUGGGUAGCAAACAGGAUUAGAUACCCCAGUAGUC
rnacentral:rRNA from 1 species